rnacentral:rRNA from 1 species
AACGAACGCUGGCGGCAUGCCUAACACAUGCAAGUCGAACGAGACCUUCGGGUCUAGUGGCGCACGGGUGCGUAACGCGUGGGAACCUACCCUUAGGUUCGGAAUAACUCCCCGAAAGGGGUGCUAAUACCGGAUAAUGUCUUCGGACCAAAGAUUUAUCGCCUUUGGAUGGGCCCGCGUUGGAUUAGCUAGUUGGUAGGGUAAAAGCCUACCAAGGCGACGAUCCAUAGCUGGUCUGAGAGGAUGAUCAGCCACACUGGGACUGAGACACGGCCCAGACUCCUACGGGAGGCAGCAGUGGGGAAUAUUGGACAAUGGGCGAAAGCCUGAUCCAGCAAUGCCGCGUGAGUGAUGAAGGCCUUAGGGUUGUAAAGCUCUUUUACCCGGGAUGAUAAUGACAGUACCGGGAGAAUAAGCUCUGGCUAACUCCGUG